rnacentral:lncRNA from 1 species
CUGCUUCUUGGGGACCAGCUGGGCAUCAUCGGUCAGUGGCUGGUGAGCAAUAGCUUGUUCAUUACUUGUUUUUUAUGUGUAUACAUAUAUAAAAUUACCAUUGCUAUUAUCUGUUUUUUUCCUUGUCUUUGUAUAGUUUUUUAUCUCAACCCAUGAGAGCUGCUUUCUUGUUUUGGAUUCAGUUCUCUCCUCCAUCUCCCCAAUUGGAGGGUGGAGAGUGAGUGAAUGAUGGUGUGGUGCUUAGCUACCUGCCAGGGUAAACCACAACACAGUCUGUAUCAGCAGGAAAGGAGCCUAGUCCUUCUAUUUUCACGACAGAAAAUUAAAUAUAUAUUUAUAUAUUUUCUUCUCCAGCUAAAAUAUAAAUUAUUAUUACAUUGGGGCCUAUAGAAUAGGAGGCAUAGGAUGAGUAGAGAUUUCUUUGUCUUGACUGAAUGGUUUUCAAAAAAAAAAAAAAAAAUAACACUGAGCACUUACAGAAAGGGAUUUCUAUAUAUAAAGCUCUUAGAACCAGUAAUGAGCUUUCAUGACCUAUACAAAUGUAUUGUUUGAAUUGUAUUUCUGAUUAGCUAUGAGUCUGACUAAUUGCUAGGGUGUUGAUUAUAGAGGAGGAAGAAAGUCUUUGUAUUAGUAGAGACUUUUUCAGAGCUAUAUCUUUUUCAAUGCUGCUAACAGACAAUUUUGUCAUUCUUUGUCUUUUCUUGUUCUCAAAGCUGCACUGUAGCAGCAAACCGGAAGACCACUUUUCCUUUAAUAAUGGAUAAAGGAUUUCUGAGGCUAUGUUUUUGAGUGGAAUGUACAACAAAACUCUACCUCAACAUACAGGGAAAGUGAGUGGCUCUCUGGUACUGAGCUGCCUGAUGGAGUUAAACCACAACACAUAUGUAAGUAUUAUUAUCAAGAAAAAAUCAUCUGGCAAAAACAACUGUUACAAAGUUAAUUCUCAUUAAUUCCAAACAUAUAUGAAAUUUAUAGUAUGAUAUAUUAUGAUAUCAUGUUUUUGUCAAUUCACCAACAACUUGAAAACAUUUUCAUAUUAUUUAUUCAAUGAUUGUAACUCAACAAUUAGCUACAACUUUUAGCAAAAGAAAAAUGAAAGAGCAAGUUAAAGCGUAUUUUGUAACUCACAUAUUACUCUGCAGUUUGAGAUCAGUUGUCAGCCAUAUG